UAAAAAAAAUUGUGGUAAGUGGUAUUCUGC
rnacentral:piRNA from 1 species